rnacentral:sRNA from 1 species
AUUCACUGUUUCACGGGGGGCAUCUCAUUGUAACCCUUACAUGCUCAUAGCAGCUAACAGAUGGAAAAUCACAGAUGCAAGCUCAGGACCACGCUGCAGUUCAAAUUCCAGCUCAGUCAUUCACUAGCUAUUGACCCGAGACAUGUCACAUAGCCACUGUGUGCCUCAGUUUACUCAUUCAUAAAAUGGAGAUGAUACUUUAUAAGAGUGCUGUCACAUGAGGCAAUGUUUUCAAAAAUGCCUAACCCACCAAAAAAAAAAAAAGCCUUUAGGUAAAUGAUACUGACUGCUGCUGUUUUUCACUGUUUUUCUUUGUCCCUCAACUCUGGCUUGUGACCCAGUCACCCUGCCCCAGCAGCUCUCCUGGAGAAAGCUGGUCUUCCCUUACUCAAAGCUCCUUUUCCCAAUGCUUUGGCAAGGCCCAGCAGCCAGAACAGCUUGCUCAGCUUCUCUAUGGCUGCAGCCGCACUCUGCCCGGGAGCAGGCUGCAGUGACCCAGUGGGAGGUCAGGGCUCAGUGUUACUUACCCCUGGAGGGGCCUCGGCUCCUCAGGCUCAGCAUGUGGGGUUGGGGGUACCCCAGUGGUUCAAUUUGGCCUCCAGUUGUUGCAGACUUUAGCACCUUGAAGUGCCCAAACUGGAGAGAUCCCAGGAGUCAUCAUCCCAGGCCCAUCUGUGUUUAGAUGGGGAAGCCAAGUCCCUGAGGGAGGGAGGGGCUGGCCCAAGGACGCACUGUUAGUUCAGCCUCUUAGUAUCCUUAGUCCCUGCUGUGUGCAUUCUCAGGGAGGUUGGUGGCAGGGCGGGGCCUUCUGGCUUUGCAGUUCAGUCUAUUUCUCUGAAGAAGCUAGCCCACUCCCCACACGGUGUUUACACCCGUCACACGCACACACACUGGGACUCCUGCUUAUUCAUCAUGUGUGGCUCAGAAUGUCCCCUCCCCAGUCUCCCAGAUGCCUCCCGGGAGAAUGGGUCAUUCAUUCAUUCCCCUCAACUCUCCAUGUCCCUCCAUCCCACAUGCGUGAUGUCGCAGUGUUAGGGAUAUUCUUAUGUCUUCCUCCUUCUGCAGACUGUGACUCCCUCUGGGGAAAGAGCAGGACGUUCAGCAAACCAUUGUUGAAUAAAUGAAUGGAUUUCGCAUGGCCCAGAGGUUGAAGGAGGCAAUAGCCAAAAAUUGCACUUUUCCUUUUACAGCUCUGAUUUCUAAUUUAUUUUCUGAUUCUGGUGCUGCUUGCAGCUCACAUGGUCAAUUUCUAAACAACCAAGGGGGUCAAAAAUGCCCAGCUGUGCACGGCAGAGUUUAGGGCCUCCAGGGGAAGGGAUGUGAGAGAGGGAGUGGGGGAGUCUGGCUUCAUGGGGCGGAGAGGGAGGAAAGUCCUUUCUGGAGGGUUGCUGGGGGGCCCUCUGCAAUCCAGUCCCCACCCACCCUGAGACACAGUUUGUACUUCUGAUUCUCGUAUCCUCUACCCCAGGAAUACGUCGCCUACAGCCACACGGGCCGCAUCAUCCCUGCAAUCUGGUUCCGCUACGACCUCAGCCCCAUCACAGUCAAGUACACAGAGAGACGGCAGCCGCUGUACAGAUUCAUCACCACGAUCUGUGCCAUCAUUGGCGGGACCUUCACCGUCGCCGGCAUCCUGGACUCAUGCAUCUUCACAGCCUCUGAGGCCUGGAAGAAGAUCCAGCUGGGCAAGAUGCAUUGAUGCCACACCCAGCCUAAUGGCCGAGGACCCUGGGCAUCGCCAGCCUUGCCUCCAGCGCCCUGUCUCCUUUGGCCCUCAAUCUGGUCCCAGAUCUGGCUGUGUCCCAAAGUGUGUGUGGGAAGUUGGGGGGAAAGUAGAGGAUGGCUCGAUGUUUUGCAGCUACCUCUUUUCCCCGUGUUUCUUUUUAGACAAAUUACACUGCCUGAAGUUGCAGUUCCCCUUUCCCUGGGGAGCCCCAAGAACAGAGUCAGGCAAGGGGUGGGGAGUCCAGGGGUCUUGGGGACCCCUCCUAGGAGAGCUGCAGUCUCUUCCCUCAGGGGAACAUCCCAGAAUGCAUAUCGAUCAGCUCUCAGCCAGGCUUCGACAAUCUCGCAGCCCCCACUAUGUGGACACACCAAUGAUUUGGUUUCUCCCCUGGGCAGCCAACCUGCCCCAGAGGCACCAGACCUGGGCUCUCAGCUUUGGGACCAGGCUGCCCAAAGGUACUCCUUUAUACACCCGGCACCUUCCACGAAAGAUGGUACUUCCUAAGCAAGCCUCUAUGAUUUGUCACUAUAGAUGGAACCCUGACUUCUGCCCCAUCCCUUCCUGCCCAACCUAGAACCCAGGCCUCAAGUCUUUACCCCACCCCUUUCUUCCAAGAAGCAGAUGCCCAGUUGCUCAGCAGCAGCGGUAGACACUUGAGUCUGCCCACCAGUCACAAGACGGGUCACAGAUUCCUCUUCCUCUCUUCUCCUCGUUCCUCUGAACCCCCCACCAAUGUGCCUCAGCCUGUGUGCUGUGUGGCAACAGCAUUUCUUGGUGAAGGAGCUGGUUCCCACUGCCAAGAUCUCCCACCACUCUGCAGGGAUCUGCAGUGGCAGGGAGUGGGGGUUGUGUGAAGGGGAAGUCAUCUUUUGAGACCCAGAUAGACAUGGUUUGUGCACUUACGUCCAGAUGGGAAGCAUCCUUCCUGCAACCCUAAAAUAAUCAUGCAGCCUCUCAGACGGACGCCAUCAGUCCCAAGGCCUUAGGUGGAGGAAGCAAAGCAAGCCAUCCCUGUCCUGUCCGUGGACCUCUACCUUCUAAACUCCCUACGGGUGCAGAGCACUUGGGUCUCUCUACAGCCAUCGUGGCCCACUUGACACUGUGCUCAUCCAUCAGCUGGUCACAUGCCAACACGUUCCCAGCCCCUGAGGCAGCUCCAGGGUGCCCCACCUGCUCCUGAGGUGGGUCCCUACCCUGCUGCUCCUCUUCAUCCUUUCGCUUUUGUCCUGAAAGGGAGGGGCAAUGGUCCAGGCAUUAAUUCCACCCAGGGAAUUUUAGCUAUGCCCUCAUGUCCCAGGGAGAGAGCCACACACCUGUUUUCCAUUUAUAGCAAGAUUGUUUGCAUACUUCUGUAAUGAAGGGGAGUGUCCAGUGGAAGGAUUUUUAAAAUUAUCUUAUGGAUAGCUCAAGUCUCUGCCAUUUGUAAUUUUUGGCUCUAAGCUCCAAUUGGAGACGCUUCUCCUUGUGCAUAUGAGUUGACUGAUGUUGUGAGUGAAAAUGCAUUUGGUUAUUUCUGGUAUCUGUGGCCAAUUGGAUGGAUUUCUUUUUUUACAUUCUGUUCCCCAGUUACAGGAAGGAGUCCCUUUGGUGUGUGAAUAUGUGUGCCUGUAGAGGGUGGGGCAGGGUGGGGUGGGGAUGGAAAUGUGUGGCAUGCACGUGAGUUGAAAUUCUACUUUUAUGCAUUUUUUUGAAAACAAACAAAAAAAAACUCUGAGGACAUAGGGGAUGUCAGUUUCCUAUGGAAGAGACACCUCUGACCCGUUAUUCUUAUAAUCAAAAUCUGAAGGGAAAAAAAUGUUUUAGUUCUUUCCCCACUCAUUGGGUUCAACUAGAUUAAAAGGCUGAUUUUCAG